CCCUGAUACAAAAGCAAAGUCUAAGUGGUUCACGUCUGCAGAGACAAGGAGCAACAAGAGGCAUGGAGGACCCAAGCAUGCACAAGAAGACAGACCCAUGCCUUUGCCAGAUGAACAUGGACUCGGGCACAGAAUGAUAUGCACUGCUUUCAAACUUGGUCCAGAGAGAGUUCUUGAUGCAGCUGGCAGAGGUUAACAUGGAGACUCAUAACUAAGAAUAAGACACUGUGAAUAUUCAGCCCCAAAUGGGACAUCUGUGUCAACCCAGUCCUCAAGGCUCAGGGAACAUUGUGGGAGAAGCAGAAAGAAGGCAAGAAUCCGGCCAGUGACUCUGCUGCAGAAGACAAGAGCCCUUUCGACUGAGACCCCACCCCAAAGCCCCUGACUCCUUCCUUCCACAGGCCAUCAUCCAGCGCAUGCCCGUUACCUGCUGCGCUGACUACAAGGCCACUGGUCACUGCCACGUGUGCUGCACAUGUGCCACCACGCCCGUCCUGAUGAACAUCCUGAAGGAAGUCACCCAAUGUGUCCCAGUGCUAGGCUUGGUGGAUGGUUUUGGAUUUGUGUUGACUGUUCAUACUUAUUUACUAUAUAAAUAUAAUUUAUCAUUUGUAUCA